GGCGGCGUGCUUAACACAUGCAAGUCGAACGCGAAAGGGACUUCGGUCCUGAGUAAAGUGGCGCACGGGUGAGUAACGCGUAGAUAACCUGUCUUCAUGUCUGGAAUAAUACGCCGAAAGGGGUACUAAUACCGGAUAUUCUUGCUUUUCAUAAGUUAUGCAAGCAAAGGUGGCCUCUGCAUAUGCUACUGCAUGAAGAGGGGUCUGCGUACCAUUAGCUAGUAGGUGGGGUAAUGGCCUACCUAGGCGACGAUGGUUAGCGGGUCUGAGAGGAUGAUCCGCCACACUGGCACUGGAACACGGGCCAGACUCCUACGGGAGGCAGCAGUGAGGAAUAUUGCGCAAUGGGGGAAACCCUGACGCAGCGACGCCGCGUGAGUGAGGAAGGCCUUCGGGUCGUAAAGCUCUGUCAAGAGGAAAGAAGUGUACAAUGGCUAAUACCUGUUGUAUUUGACGGUACCUCUAAAGGAAGCACCGGCUAACUCCGUGCCAGCCGCGGC
rnacentral:rRNA from 1 species